rnacentral:misc_RNA from 1 species
CGACACCGGAAAAGGGUUAGCAAAAUCCAUGUUACGACAUGCAGGAACUUUUCAUUGAUGGAAAAACUGAUACCGCUACAAAAAUGCUUUGAUAAGCAAGACGAGAUUGGUUUAUAAUAUGGAGAGAAACACGGAAGAUUUGAAAAUCGUAGCCAUCGCAUUUCAUGAAGAACACCUCAGCCUAGCAGAGCCCGUAGAUGAUGGAUCUGUCGCUCAUGAGGCAACCAAACAAAACAUGGACGCCGAAGAAGUAAAUACGUCGGAAACUCCUCAAAAUGAGGAUAUACUAAACGCUGUCGAAAUAUGUCGGGUGUGUUUGCUCGAAAGUGUAGAAAUGAAAGACCUAUUUCUGGUAGACGAUGUUGUUUCAUUGUCUAGCAAAGCUAUGAGCUUCACCAACGCUAAGAUGCUACCUGGAGAUGGUUUGCCCGCACAGGUCUGUGCUUCCUGUGCAGCUAAGUUGGAUGCAGCCUACGAAUUCAAGCUCCAAGUAGAGCAAGCGGAUGGUGUUUUGAGAGAGAGAUACAUGUCAUUGAAUAUUAAGGAUGAAAUAUUUUUCAACGAGGUAGAAAUACACCUGGAAACAAAUCAAAGUGGUGAUAAAAUUGGCGAACACUCAACAGAUAUUGAUAUACAACUUUGCCCAGAAUCAAUCCAAGAAGCCGAAUUAAAUGAUACAACAGAAGAACCUCAUCUACUUGAAGAUGACUUGGCACUUUUGCGGGAUAAAAAACGUUCAGAAGAUCAGGGAAGCAAUUCGGAAGUUGGGGAGGUUUCGCCGGAAGGUACAGAGAAUUCUGAAACCGAACCAGACAUCAUACAUCAUACACCCAUGGAUCCUGGCAGAAUUGUUGCUCAGGAACAUGGUUAUGGAGCGCAGCUGAAAUCCGAAUCAGACGAGCAUUUACUUCCGGGAAAAUCAUUCGGAAAGUCCGGUCAACUAAGUAAAAGUGAUGAGAAUCAGUUGGAAAAUGUUAAUCUAGAAGAGAGCAGUAGAGAACAAACAGUGACUCAAAAGAAAAAAGAGCAAAUUUGCAAAGCAUUGCCUCAGAUCGAAACAAGGAAAAGUAAACGCAAGUCAGCUCAAAAACUCCCUAUCAUUGAUCAUGACUCGGACGAAGACAAUUACUUUGAGAAUUUAAAUUUGAGCUCUAGAUUAAAACAGAGUCCACCAAAUAAGGCUGAGAGCGUUUAUUACAUGUGUUACAUUUGCGAUAAACAUUUUUUGGCUAAGAGCAUUUUAAAAGAACACAUGCACUCUCAUGAAGAAGUGAGAAAAGUUAUGUCUUUAGUGAAGGUGCCUGAAAAAAGUCCAAAAAUUACAACCCCAGCAAAACAUUGUCCAUCUGGUAAACAACCCAACAAAUGUCCCCAUUGCGGUAAAGAAUACUUGUAUAUAAUUUCGUAUAAGAAACAUCUUAAGCAACAUGAGAGUGAAAAAGAAGAAUCAAAAGUUGAACCGAUGCCAUUAGAAGUAUCAUUUCACGAGGAUGACAACACUCUAGAUUUUGAAAACUCUGACAAUAGUUAUGAUUCUGAUCCAUUAUCCCAAGAGGGAAAACAUACUUGUGAGAAGUGCAAAGAAGCUUUCAGCACAAAAAAAGCUCUUCAAAAACAUAUGACUAAGCAUGAAGCACUCAUGUGCAACAUUUGCAAUCAAGAAUUUGGCGAUCUGGAUGCAUUUAAAACUCACCAGACUCAACACGUGUCUGAAGAAGUUUUGACAGCAGAAGACUUGGAAGAAAAUCUGAAGUAUGUUUCCCAACUCUUAGAGAGUACCCAUGACGAUGAAGGAGUUCGUGUGCGCAGAAAAACAAGACAUUCUGGAAACAAAGGCCUACAAUGUCCUAAAUGUCCCAUGGUUUACUCUCACAAAAAAUCUUUAUUGCGGCACCUAGAAAUUCAUACAGGGAUACAGUAUGUAUGUAAGUUAUGCAGUCAACAAUUUUCUCGUAAAGAUCACUUGCGAAGACAUAUGGAACAGCAUGGUAGAAUAAAAUCAUUCAAUUGUACUCAAUGCAACAAGACGUUUGGAAAUGAAUUGACGUUACGAAAUCAUCUGAUUGCAACAAAUCAUAAAACCAUUAUUCGAGGAGAAGAGUAUGAUCCCAAUAAACGUCCAAAACGUGUAGCUGCGAAAGAAGCACAAAAAAUUAUUGACAAAAUCAAAACAGAAAACGAUGGAGAUGACAAUGAUAGCAGCGAUGAUGUAGAACAACCUCGAAAGAGAUCAUACGAGAAAAAAGAAUACGAAUGUGCCACAUGCAGCAGCAAAUGUGCUUCCAAACAGUCUUUAGCUAAGCACAUGGAGAUGCACAUUAAAGACGAAAAAAGCGAAAAGCAAAUAAAUCGCGGCUCAGAUGAUGACUCAGAUUUUGACACAGGUCUAGAAUGGCUCAUAGACACUCAUGAAUGUCCAACUUGUAAGAAAAGAUAUAGUACAAAAAAAUCUUUGCUGCGGCAUCAACUACUGCAUGAAGAGCCAAACUUCGAAUGCGAUAUUUGCAAUAUGAAAUUUUAUCGAAAAGACAAAUUGAAAGCACAUUAUGACAAAUGUUCAGAAAAGAAUCCAGACCAAGUCAGAAAGUGUAAUAUCUGCGGAGACAGCUUUGAAAACAAUAAUUUGUUGAAGGAACACAGAGCUAAGCAUGUCACAGAGGGUAUUUUAACUGAGGAAGAUUUAAGAGAUAUUGAACCACAGACUGAUGAAAAAAGGCUUGGAGAAAAAAUAACCAGAAAAAGAAGAACUGAUAUUGUCGGACUUGAGUGUAGAGAGUGCAACAAGCUUUACACUUCACGGAAAGGAUUACUGCGUCACAUACAGGUUCAUGAGGGUAAAAAGUAUCUGUGUGACAUUUGUCCAAAGAAAUUUUACAGGCGAGAACAUCUCAAAAUACAUGUGGCCAAGCACAAUAUGAUAAAACCGCACAAAUGCAAUCGUUGCACCAAACGUUUUGCCAAAGAAGAACAACUGACCAAUCAUGUAUCCAAACAUGACAGGAAUUUCAAAAAAAACAAGGAAACGGAUAGCUCUAAAAGAUUCUUAUGCGAAAUUUGUUCCAAGAGCUUUACCCAAUCAACAACCCUGAUUGCUCAUCUCAGAGCCCAUAAUGGAAUAAAGCCUUAUGUGUGUGAAGUAUGUUCUCGGCCCUUCACAACAAAUGCAUAUCUCAAAAUGCACAUGAGAACCCAUACUCAAGAAAGACCCUACACUUGCCAAUACUGUUCGCGAGCUUUUGCAAGGGCAGAUACAUUGGCAAAUCAUCUUACAUCGCAUACAGGGGAAGCCAAGUACCAUUGCAAAUAUUGUCCAAAAAAUUUCAGGCGAUUAAAAUCCUUGAAAGAACAUGUAUUUAUUCAUACUGGUCAGAGGCCUUAUGCCUGUCCAACCUGCGACCGAAGAUUUAACAAUAAUGGAAGUCGCUAUGCUCAUAGUAAGAGAUGCAAACAAAAUUUAUUGCAGAACCAGAACAGGGGUCAAGAAUCUGCGAACCAAGGGAGAAUUCAUGUGAAUAACCCAAUGCAAACUGUGAAACCCCAGAGUGUAAAAACAAUCACAAUCACCAGUCAAGCUGAUAGUGUUACUGGGCAGCAAGUUAUACAGCAUCAAGAGAUUCUCAUGCCUCUAAUCUUGCCAUUGACGGUUACAUUGGCUGAUGUCGGUGAAGAAGUUAUCCUACCUGAAGGCACAAAGAUUUUCACAACCUCGUAAUCAUGAAGAUGAUUUAGAUUUUUACCAUCAGUCAAGAGUUACACAAUGAAUGCUGUGAAAAAUGCGGCGGCAAUAGAGUUUGGCUACCUUUAGCUGAAAGUAUGUAUGACUUGGAUAGAAUCUGAUGAAUUUAUGACACGAUUAUGUACGACUACGUCCUUAUGCGAACUAAAUUUAUACUUGAAUUGAUUGUAUGAUCUAUAUGAUCGCAUUUUAAUAUUUAAUGUUCUAUGCAUAUAGAUGAUUCAUACCUUUCCUGUAAAAUGUAAUAUGUACAUUUACUGCAACAAUUUUAGUAGCGUCAUUGUUGUACUAAAGUGUUUUUACCUAAUUUAAGAGAACUUUUAAAAUAUAUUGUAACAUAAACCAUAGAUAUUAAGCAGCUUCAAAAUAUGUCUAAGCUGAGUUUAGAGAAUUGAAACAAAUUUAUGAAAGAACAGCAUCUAUCCAGUUCACUAUUUCUGUUCAUGCGAUUAUCUCCUAAUUUUAUAAUUGCAUUAGGCAAUCUCAUAAGUUUUUGCCAUACACGAAUAAGAUCGCAUGCAUUAGGUAAUUUCUUAAUUGUGCUAGAAAUUACUAUGAUAUAUGUUAAUCAUGAUUUCAUUUUGAUAUGUAAAUAACCUUGGUAUAGUGAUAAAUAGAAGUUUAUUAUAUUAA